AGGCCAAUUGAGAGACUGCGUCAUCGAUUGCCAAAUGCGAUCUGGAAAUUGGAUUUAACUUGGAUUUCCCCAGCUUCGUUUUGUUAGCUUACUUUAAACCAGAUAUCACAGCACAGAUAUCGAGUUUGGCCCGGGGGCCAGUUUCAAGAGCAAGUGCUGACCUUCCCGGGAGUUAACCGUGUAGUGCAGUGUAAUUAUAGCCACUAACCCAUUCACAUUCCCGCUGGCUGCUGUUGUUGCACAGAAGGCGAGCGUCUGGAUAAAAGAGCCCAUCAGUUCAUACCAUCUGAUUAUGCACCUCAAGAAAUAAAUAAGUACAUAAGAUUUGCAGAUAAUAGUAUUGGAACAAACACACGUGCACGAUAUGGACACUACUCCAGACAAAUUAGCCUGCGGUUAGCUGUGGAUGCAUUCGAAGAUCGCAUGAUCGUACAGCCGUUUUUCAUGGCUUCGUUUGGCAGUUGACACGUUAAGAGCACGCACGUUUGCCGGCCAUUUAAGUGGCCCCAGCAUCGCAUCUUGGCCAUUGCCACUGGCCAGAAGAUGGAGGAGCCGAUAAAGCGGAGAGCGGCAUUUGACAGUUAUGACCACUUGCUUUAUUUUUAGAGCCAAAAACGGCUAGGCCAGUUGGCAGCAGUUCGCAACAGCAGCACAAAGCAAAAUCACAGUAAAAGCAAAAGCAAAGCGAAGCAAAGCCGGCCGGCACCCACGGACUGGCUAAAAACAACAAACGCGGCCAAAAGCAACUGAACUGGUUUCGGUUUGCGACGAUGACUCGCAAGCCCAUCUAAGAGCUCCCAAAUAAAUAUCCCCUUUCCGCGCCAUGAU